rnacentral:lncRNA from 1 species
UUACCAUCACAUCAUAAUUUCUACCACAAAUUUAUGGAAUGUAUUAUCAUAUAAAAAUAUUUCUUCUUAAGAAAAUAGAGAGACUAAUUAAGUUAGAUAAGAUAAGAUACACAAUAAAGUCAUCAUCAUAUAAUAAGACUAGUUUUAUUAGUCAAACAUGCCACUCCUUGUUAGUCAAGUAUGUGCUCCCUGCUCUUAGAUCAGCAUGCAAAUUAAAAUAAGAAAAUAAAUAUGACCCGGG